UACGUAGGGGGCAAGCGUUGUCCGGAAUUAUUGGGCGUAAAGGGUGCGUAGGCGGCCCCUCAAGUUGGAUGUGAAAUCCCCGUGCUUAACAUGGGAAUUGCAUUCAAAACUGAAGGGCUUGAGUGUGGAAGAGGUAAGUGGAAUUCCCAGUGUAGCGGUGAAAUGCGUAGAUAUUGGGAGGAACACCAGUGGCGAAGGCGACUUACUGGGCCACAACUGACGCUGAGGCACGAAAGCGUGGGGAGCAAACAGG
rnacentral:rRNA from 1 species